rnacentral:rRNA from 1 species
CCUACGGGUGGCAGCAGUGAGGAAUAUUGGUCAAUGGGCGAGAGCCUGAACCCGCCAAGUCGCGUGUAGGAUGCAGGCCCUAUGGUUUGUACACUUCUUUUAUAUGGGAAUAAAGUGAGCAACGUGUUCGUUUUUUUAUGUACCAUAUUAAUAAGCAUCGGCUAACUCCAUGCCAGCAGCCGAGGUAAUACGGAGGAUGCGAGCGUUAUCCGGAUUUAUUGGGUUUAAAGGGAGCGUAGGUGGGUAGUUAAGUCAGUUGUGAAAGUUUGUGGCUCAACCUGAAAAUUGCAGUUGAGACUGGUAGACUUGAGUAUAUUUGAGGUAGGCGGAAUGCGUGGUGUAGCGGUGAAAUGCAUAGAUAUCACGAAGAACUCCGAUUGCGAAGGCAGCUUACUGAACUAUAACUGACACUGAGGCACGAAAGCGUGGGGAUCAAACAGGAUUAGAUACCCGGGUAGUC